UGUGUGUGUGUGUGUGUGUGUUUGUUUUUCCCAUCAGCCUCAUCAUAUUCACAGACUCUCCCACUUCUGUGACUUUCCCUAUGGAUACCUGGUAUUUAUAAUCACCGAAGAUGGAAAGCAUCUAUUUGUUUUUGUUGAAGGCAGUGUCGUGCUAGCAUCAUCUCAACAACACCGCAAAGAAGUAAAACGCACAUAAAGGACACCACCAAUUUCCC
rnacentral:lncRNA from 1 species